UACGGAGGAGGCAAGCGUUAUCCGGAAUUAUUGGGCGUAAAGCGUCCGCAGGUGGCACCUCAAGUCUGCUGUCAAAGACCGGGGCUUAACCCCAGAAAGGCAGUGGAAACUGAAGUGCUAGAGUGCAGUAGGGGUAGAGGGAAUUCCCGGUGUAGCGGUGAAAUGCGUAGAGAUCGGGAAGAACAUCGGUGGCGAAAGCGCUCUGCUGGACCAUAACUGACACUCAGGGACGAAAGCUAGGGGAGCGAAAGGG
rnacentral:rRNA from 1 species